GAUGAACGCUAGCGGCAGGCUUAAUACAUGCAAGUCGAGGGGCAUCGCGGGUAGCAAUACCUGGCGGCGACCGGCAAACGGGUGCGGAACACGUACAGAACCUUCCUUUAAGUGGGGCAUAGCCCGGAGAAAUCCGGAUUAAUACCCCGUAAUAUUAUUGAGUGGCAUCAUUUGGUAAUUAAAGAUUUAUCGCUUAGAGAUGGCUGUGCGGCUGAUUAGGUAGUUGGUGUGGGUAACGGCCCACCAAGCCAUCGAUCAGUAACUGGUGUGAGAGCACGACCAGUCACACGGGCACUGAGACACAGGCCCGACUCCUACGGGAGGCAGCAGUAAGGAAUAUUGGUCAAUGGACGCAAGUCUGAACCAGCCAUGCCGCGU
rnacentral:rRNA from 1 species